UUUUUUUUUUCUUUUUACGGCCACACCUGUGGCAUAUGGAACUUCUCAGUCUAGGGGUCAAAUCGGAGCUGCAGCUGCCAGCCUAUGCCAUAGCCACAGCCAUGCAGGAUCUGAGCCAUGUCUUUGAUCUACACCAUAGUUCAUGGCAACACCAGAUCUUAACCCACUGAGCGAGGCUGGGGAUUGAAUCCACAUCCUCCUGGAGACUAUGUCAGGUUCUUAACCUGCUGAACCACAAUAGGAACUCCAAAAAGAAUGUCUUUUGAUUUCCGUGUGUUGAGUCCCAGACAUCUACAGAACUACAUCCAAAUGAACAUAUCUGAUGUUAGGUGGGAAAAAACCUUGAAUUCCAGAGAGGGUUUGUGUUGGAGAAAGAUUCAUAAAUGAAAGUCAUCUGUAUAUGUAAAAGAGUGUCCGGGGAGAAUUUGUUGAAUAAUGUUAAUAAUAUAUAGCAUUUAUUAGCAUUUUGUUCUGUACAGGAACUUCACAUCAUUUAACAGGCUUAAUUCUUAUAACAACCCUAUGAGGUAAUAUUCUUAUUAGGCCCAUUUUACAGAUAAGAAAAUUAAAGCACACAGUUACAAGGGGUUAAAGCCAGCAAUCAAACCUGGGCAAUCUAGUUCUAGAACCCCUGCUGCUUAAUCAUGAAGUUACACAGCUCCUUGAUACAAAAUGAAGAAAGAUCUUCGUGCAAGAUCCUGCACAAUACAAAUAGUGUUAAAUUCUGGCUUAUCAUGAUGAAUGGGGUGCAAAAAUACAAUCUUGAAAAAUGUAGAUUCUUAAUGUGGGGUUGCAUCAUUGUGAGGUAGAUGAGGAAAAAUAUACGUCUCAGUUGUUAGGCAUCAUCACAAAAAAGGAUAUUACUAAAAGCAGAUAGUGCAAAUUUGAUCACACGAUAAACAGAAAAAGUCCCAAAUAAUGGCAAGGUGUGGGAUGGGGAGGGGGGAGAAUUUCUAAUUCCACAUCACACCACCCCAUCACUGCUCCUAUACCAGAUCAUCACGUUAGUCUUCCCCAUUGAAGAACUGGAACUGGUCACAGGAUUGGAGUCAGCUUUCAGAUGUAUUUCACAGGAAUUCUCAUUGUGGCUCAGCAGAAACCCAACUAGUAUCCAUGAGGAUUCAGGUUUGAUCCCUGGCCUCUCUCAGUGGGUUAAGGAUCCAGCAUUACUGUGAGCUGUUGUGUAGGUUACAGAUGUGGCUCAGAUCCUCAGCUGCUGUGGCAUAGGCUGGCAGUUGUAGCUCCGAUUUGACUUAUAGCCUGGGAACUUCCUCAUGCCACAGGCAUGCCCUAAAAAAAAAAAGUGCCUUUGACUAGAAUUCUGGCCAGCUCUGUUCCAAGGAAACCUAAGAAUUUUCCAAAGAGGCAGUGGCUAUAGUAACAAGAGAUAACAAGACAUCAAGUACACGGAGACCUGAAAUAACUUAUGCAUCGUAUUUAGGUGUAAGAAGACCGUUAGUGACCUUUUUUCAAGGAUUAACAAGAAACUCCUUGUUCAUGCAGUAGAGACUGAUCUCUCAAAAUUAACAUCAUUUUAUUUUGCUUGCGGAAGUUUUGCAUGAUUGGUAUUUCUAAUAAGAGCUACCAUUUUUAAGCACAUGUCAAGUUCUGUAGUUGGCACUUUUUAUUAUGUCUAACAACUACCCACAAGGUAGCAGAUUUCCCUUCCACUUGACAAGUGAGGAUACUCAAUUUUAAAGCAGUGAUCUAAGAUCACAAGUCUGAUCAUUGGCAAAGCCAAUAUGCAGAGUCAAAAAUUGCAAGUUCCCAGACCUUAUUUCCUUCAGUACACUGUACACUCUCCACUGAGUUCCUAUGACACAAGAGGGUAGAAAUGCAUAAAUGGUACCUGCUGAUUCAAGGAUCUCCUUUUAAUCAAUUGUUCCAUCUUUGUCUCCCUUUAUAAUUUUGGCUGACAUUUCAAGCUGGUUUCAUUUGUGUAGAUAUUUUAAUAAGUAAUAAGGGUCAGACGCUGAAGACAGGAUGAGGAUAAAGAGAAGGUACUGAUUUCUUAUCCCUUCAUUCGGGAAAAGGGAACAAUAGAUGGGCGGUGGGCAGUGCCUCUUUGCCUGUGGUUUCCAAGCCAGGGCCAUUACUAAAACCAGCCUUUGACAUUGGGCCAGCUCAACAGUCCAAAUCCAGUCUCCAUCUAAAACCCCUUGGAGUGGGACAAGUUCAUUGAGAAGGUAAAUCAGGGACUGAGAAAAUCCUCCAGCGAGGAGUUUUGAAGUGGACUUUGGCAAGAGGAAUCUGGAGCUUUUAUGGACCUGAGAGUCCCAUGACUCAGCUCUUUUUACCCAGUUCUUGUGCUUGCAGGUUUAGGCAUUUUGAUGACAUCUAAAGGGUGAAGGUCACAACACUAUAAAUCAACUAUAUUUUCAUUAAAAUUAUAUUUUAAAAAUACAAUUAAAUUUUUAAAAAUUCUAAUGUGCAAAAACUGAACAGUAUCAGUAAAGCAUUCUUGAAUUUAAAAAAAAUUAAAUAAAGGGUGAAGGGUCUGUAGUGAACCAGAGAUAACCCUUAACACGGAGUAUUCCUUCUUGAAUAAACAGACUUUUAAAAUAUCAUUUAGACACUGCAAAACCAUAUUUGGAAAAAAGAUGAGUUUCUUUCUAACAUGGAGAGAUAAAAAGUUAUAUAUAUGGUUUUUGGACAAUGAAUAACCAAUGCCAGCCUCAGUGCUUAGGAAAAAAUAGACACAAUAGAGAGACAAAUGCUGUAUGAUAUAUUACUUAUAUGUGGAAUCUAAACAAUAAAACAAACUAGUGAAUGUAACAAAAGCAAAAAACCACACUCAUACAUUAGUGCUUACUAGUGGGGAGAGGUUUUCAGGGAAGGGCAAGAUUAAGAUAGAGAGAGAGGAUUAAGAGAAACAAAUUGCUAUGUAUAAAAUAAAUAAAAUAUAAGGAUAUAUGGUACAGAACUGCAUAUAUAGCUAAUAUUUUAUAAUAACUACCAAUGAACUAUAACCUUUAAAAAUUACACUAUGUUGUACAUUUGAAACUUUAUAUAAUAUCAUACAUGUAUGAUGUUUCAUGAAUUAUCUCAUUUAAUGCUUAUACGGGGCAGGUAGUAUCGAAUGCCCAUUUUACAGAAGAAAAGACUGAGGUAAAGAGAGAUGAAGUGUCUAUCAGUUCCUCUGGGCCAUUGAUAAUAAUCUCGAAGUACCAACUAAAGGGGAUAAAGAAAAAUGACCCCCCCCCAAAAAAAAGUCUAAAUAUCAUUAAUAAAACAUCAGGGCAAAAAUAAUGUGUGAAAGAAGUUGUCUGGGCUUGAAAAUAAACCUGCAAGGGUAGCAGAGAAAGCUGGGUCAACAGGGAAACCAUUGCUGAUGCUAGAGUGAAAGGAGUUGGGGUUUUACACUUGUCAGUUAUAUUUGUCUAAGUUUCAGUUGAUGUUUAAUUCUUUUACCAUUAGCUUUCUUGCCUGUAAGAUGCGAGUAGCGAGUCUACUCCACAGUGAAGUGAAAGCAAAGGUGAUGAAACAGACCCUAGGAAUUUGAAUAUUUUUAUAUGUUAGAUCUCAGAAGAAUUUAGAAUGAUACAUCUGUCCAAUGAAUUAAAAGCCCAGGAGGCCUUACAGUAAGUAUCAUCAAAAGAAUAAUGUUAAUGAGACAAUUUGGGAUGCUAGGUGAGCAUGAGAACAUUAUUUUUUAAUUAGUAGAAAUUGAGAUGGCACAUCAUCAUGGAUCAAUAACUGAACAGAUGGUAAAAGUAAAAUAUAAUCAUCGUUGUUGGUAACUGACCCAAAUGCAAUGCUUUCAGAUUGUUAGAAAUGAAUAUAAUCCAUGCUUGGGAUGAAAGAUCAUUUUCUGAUCAUCAACAGCAGUGCACAAAACUAUCAUAAAGCCAAAAAGCAUGAUGUGAACAUCCUAACAGGAAAAGGUGCAGUGUUCCUAAUGGCCCAGAAUAAAGUUAGGCAGAUCUGCUCUUCCUUUGCUUCAUGUCUUUCUCUCUCUCAAAGUACUUUAUUCCUUUCUUACCCCAAAUUUAUCAUAAAUUUUAAAUAACAUGUAGGCAUUUAAUUGUUUAUUGACCAUCUCCCAAUACAGCCAUACAACUCUAGUCUCCAGGAGGACUGGAUUCCCUCGAGUCACCUUAAGUGACACAUACUACUAUGUAUAAAAUAAAUAAACCACAAGGAUAUAUGGUGUGGCACAGCAAAUAUAGACAAUAUUUUAUAUUAACACUGAAUGAAAUAAUAACCUUUACAAAUUAUGAAUCACUAGGUUGUAUAUUUAAAAAUUUAUCUCAUGUACAUCAACACCUCAAUUAAAAAUAAAUAAAAAUUAAUUACUGAAAACAUCUAUUGGAUAAAAGGACAAAUGAUUCAUUGUUCCUGGGUUAUCCUUUCUGCUGUACCUGAAGGCACAAUGCACAGUCAAGAACACCUCACAAUUUUCACAUGGAGAAAGUACUAUACUUUGUAAGCUUCCCUGGAGUGAUUCUGAGGCUGAGCUGCAC
rnacentral:lncRNA from 9 species